rnacentral:rRNA from 1 species
UACGUAGGGUGCAAGCGUUGUCCGGAAUUAUUGGGCGUAAAGAGCUCGUAGGCGGUCUGUCACGUCGGCUGUGAAAACCCGAGGCUCAACCUCGGGCCUGCAGUCGAUACGGGCAAACUAGAGUACUGCAGGGGAGACUGGAAUUCCUGGUGAUAGCGGUGAAAUGCGCAGAUAUCAGGAGGAACACCGGUGGCGAAGGCGGGUCUCUGGGCAGUAACUGACGCUGGAGGAG